rnacentral:rRNA from 1 species
UACGUAGGGUGCAAGCGUUGUCCGGAAUUAUUGGGCGUAAAGAGCUCGUAGGCGGUCUGUCGCGUCGGCUGUGAAAUCCCGAGGCUCAACCUCGGGUCUGCAGUCGAUACGGGCAGACUAGAGGUAGGUAGGGGAGAAUGGAAUUCCUGGUGUAGCGGUGAAAUGCGCAGAUAUCAGGAGGAACACCGGUGGCGAAGGCGGUUCUCUGGGCCUUACCUGACACUGAGGAGCGAAAGCGUGGGGAGCGAACAGG